rnacentral:rRNA from 1 species
UAAACUAGGAUUAGAUACCCUAUUAUUUGAAAUGUAAAUUUGUUAUACUAAAUUAGUAUUAGUUAUGUUCUUGAAAAUUAAAAAAUUUGGCGGUAUUUUAGUCUUUUCAGAGGAACCUGUUCUGUAAUUGAUAGUCCACGAUUAAAUGUACUUUAUUUUUUAGUUUACAUAUCGUUGUAGUUAGAAUAUUUUAAUAGAAUAUAAAUAUUCAAGAUUUUUUAUUAAAAAAUAAAUCAAAUCAAGGUGUAGUUUAUAAUAAAGUAGAAAUGGGUUACAAUAAAUAUAUUUUAGGAUAAUUUUUAUUACAAGGAUUUGAAUAUGGAUUUGAAAGUAAUUUUUAUAUAUUUUUAACAUGAUUAUAGCUCUAAAAUAUGCACACAUCGCCCGUCGCUCUUAA